AUUGAACGCUGGCGGCAGGCCUAACACAUGCAAGUCGAACGAGCGGCGGACGGGUGAGUAAUGUCUGGGAAACUGCCGGAUGGAGGGGGAUAACUACUGGAAACGGUAGCUAAUACCGCAUCCCAUCGGAUGUGCCCCGAUGGGAUUAGCUUGUUGGUGGGGUAACGGCUCACCAAGGCGACGAUCCCUAGCUGGUCUGAGAGGAUGACCAGCCACACGGGAACGGAGCCAGGGUCCAAACUCCUACGGGAGGCAGCAGUGGGGAAUAUUGCACAAUGGGCGAAAGCCUGAUGCAGCCAUGCCGCGUGUAUGAAGAAGGCCUUCGGGUUGUAAAGUACUUUCAGCGGGGAGGCGUUACCCGCAGAAGAAGCCCCGGCUAACUCCGUGCCAGCAGCCGCGGUAAUAC
rnacentral:rRNA from 1 species